rnacentral:rRNA from 1 species
UGGGGAAUAUUGCACAAUGGGCGCAAGCCUGAUGCAGCCAUGCCGCGUGUAUGAAGAAGGCCUUCGGGUUGUAAAGUACUUUCAGCGGGGAGGAAGGGAGUAAAGUUAAUACCUUUGCUCAUUGACGUUACCCGCAGAAGAAGCACCGGCUAACUCCGUGCCAGCAGCCGCGGUAAUACGGAGGGUGCAAGCGUUAAUCGGAAUUACUGGGCGUAAAGCGCACGCAGGCGGUCUGUCAAGUCGGAUGUGAAAUCCCCGGGCUCAACCUGGGAACUGCAUUCGAAACUGGCAGGCUAGAGUCUUGUAGAGGGGGGUAGAAUUCCAGGUGUAGCGGUUAAAUGCGUAGAGAUCUGGAGGAAUACCGGUGGCGAAGGCGGCCCCCUGGACAAAGACUGACGCUCAGGUGCGAAAGCGUGGGGAGCAAACAGG